UAGCUUUAUUUGUGAAUUCUUGGGUAUUUCAACUCCUUCCGUCUGUUGACAUCCAUUGUAGAGAAUCGUAUAUUAUUAAUUAAAAAUGUUGAUCAUUUCAAUUCUUACACUUAGGAUUGAAAUUGAGUAAGAUUACAUGUUGACUGUGUUAUUUUGAAAAAUAGGAACAAAUCAUUCUGUUUUGUUUUUAACUGAAAGAAAAGAGAAGCAGUUUGGUAUUUUUCAGUCUGGUAUUGCAAAUUUAGCUUAAUCUUAAAUUUAGCAAAAGGUAAAGAAAAGAGAUCCCAAUAUCACCAUAGCAAAUGAGUAGAUACAUUUUAAUUAAUUAUUUUCGGCAGGAAUAUGCAAAAUGUCUCUUAUUUCAGUUCAAAGUUCUUACUUCAGAUGGAAACAACUAUAAAUUUUUCUCAAUCAUCCAUUCUAUUUUCUGAUUCUUUUCCUAAUUAUAUCGAUUGCCCCCUUGCAUGUUGCAGACACUGAACCUAUUUUUUUCUUAGAAAUCAUGUUUUAGCUAAUUCAAUUCCUUUCAUGUGUAAUAUCAUUUUUUUUUAAUUUUUGAAAAUAAUCAGGUCUUUUUGUUCUGCUAAAUUUUCUCACAGGAUGUUGUUUAGUAAUAAAUG
rnacentral:misc_RNA from 1 species